UUUUUAAUUUGUUUAAAAUAGUAUAAAAAAGAAAAUUAAUAAAAUAUUGGCUUUAGUAAAAAAGUAUUGUAAAAGAAAAGUUGAAAUAAUAUGAAAAUUUAAUUAAUAAAAAGUAUAAUUUAAAAUUAGUACCUUGUGUAUCAGGGAGUAUUAAAUUUUUUUAUAUAAGUUAAAAAUCUCGAAAAAAGAAUAGCUAGUAUAAUAAUUUUGUUUUAAUGUCAAAUAAAUUUAAAAUAUUAUAUUAGUAGUGAAAUAUUAGACGGGUCUUUUGAUAUCUAGUUUUUUUAGAAAUGAAUUUAAUUCUGUUGUUUAAAAUAUAUUUUUAAACUAAAAAUAAUAGGAGGGAUAAGCUUCUUAUUAUGAGUGUACUAUAGUAUAAAUGUAAUAAAGUGUCAAAUUAGGCUUAAAAAUAGCCAUAUUUAUAAAGUGUUGUAAUUAAGAUAAGAUUGUAAAGUUAUUUAAAUAAUUUAUUUAGUUGUAUUAUAAAUAAGUUUUAAAAAAUUAAUUAUUAAAAGUAAUAAUAAUAUUAUUAGUAUAGUUGUUAUUUGAUUUAAAAAAGUAAAAUAAUGUAUUUUUUAUAAUAUAAUUAAGGUAUUAUAAAGGAAUUCGGCAAAAUUAGCUUUUGCCUGUUUAUCAAAAACAUGUCUUUAUGGUAUUUAUAUAAAGUCUAACCUGCCCAGUGAUGUAAAUUUAAAGGCCGCGGUAUAUUGACCGUGCGAAGGUAGCAUAAUAAUUUGUUUUUUAAUUGAGGACUAGUAUGAAUGGUUGAACAAAAAGCUGGCUGUCUCUAAAAUAAAUCUUGAAAUUAACUUUUAAGUGAAAAGGCUUAAAUAUUUUAAGGGGACGAUAAGACCCUAUAAAUCUUUAUAUUUUAAAUUUGUUAGUUUAAAAAAUGGUUUAAAUUUUGAUUUAAUAAAUUAAAAUAUUUUGUUGGGGAGACAGGAGUAUAAAAAGUAACUGCUUUAUAAUUUAAGUUAAUAAUAUUUAGUUAAGUGAUCCUUUAAUAUGGAUUUUAGAUUAAGUUACUUUAGGGAUAACAGCAUAAUUUUUUUUAAGAGUUCAUAUCGAAAAAGAAGGUUGUGACCUCGAUGUUGAAUUAAAGAUCCUUUAUGGUGCAGAAGUUAUAAAAGGAGGUCUGUUCGACCUUUAAAUCUUUACAUGAUUUGAGUUCAGACCGGCGUAAGCCAGGUCGGUUUCUAUCUCUUAGUAGAUAAUUUGUAUUUUUUUAGUACGAAAGGAUUAAAAAAUAAUAAUAAUUGUGGCGUUAGAAU
rnacentral:rRNA from 1 species